UCGUUUAUGACAAGCUCAUUUCCCAAGAAAAAUGAACAAAAAUAGUGUAAAAGAGACAGAAACAAAAGACUGACAUUAAAUUUGAAACGGUAAUAAAACAAAACAGUGGCUGGAUUUUGAAGGGUCUAGCACUGUACUAUAAGGGACCCCCAAAAUUAAAAGGUCACUUACCCCAAAACCUGCAGGAUUGGGUGUUGCAAUGCAGAACAAACCCAAUGUUGAAACCAACAAGAACCCUCUUCUUUCCCAGCAAAUUACCUUCCUUUCCAUUCAAAACAUGCACAAUAAUGAAAAUGCUCAAAAUUUACCAAAAUCCACUCAAGAACCUCAGAUCAUAACAAUAGAAACACUAUUUUCUUUGGCAUUGGUUCAACAACAAAAAGUAAAAGGUAACAACAGAAAACAAAAUGAUAAGAAUGCUAUAUAUAUAUCAGUAAGCUAACAGAUUGAGCCGUGUAGCCAAUAUCACAAUCGGCAGCAUCAGAAAUCAAAACUCAAAGAAGAAUAAGAGUUUAUGAGAAACAGUUUCUGCUACCACUAUCAUCCUUCACAUCCAUAUCAGCUAAGAACACACAUUUUCCUGACCAAGAUUCUUCGAUCCAGUAGACCCUGGCAGCAAAAUCCUCACCAUAUUCAGUUGUCUCAGCUUCUUCUGUAGCUGUCACCACCACAAUCAUAAUGGUAUCAUCAAAUGAAUAAACAAGGGACAAGGUAAAGAAAAAAACUAUAACUUUAUAGCAGCGUUUGAAGAGAAAAGUGAGAAGGGACCAAAUAGUGGGUGGUGGUGCAUAUUUUGGCAGAAAAUAAAAAGGAAAAGAAAACAAACACAAAAGGGUUGCAUGAAGGCAAGAAAUGUGUAUGUUUGAAAAGGAUGGUGUUGUUGAGAAUGCAUGUGAGUGCAAUUUGGUCCAAUAAACAUCAUAUGACCCCAUAAAUAUAAUCGAAAUUUAGAAGAAAACAAGGGAAAUGAAUGGUGGGCGCAC
rnacentral:lncRNA from 1 species